AUUGAACGCUGGCGGCAGGCCUAACACAUGCAAGUCGAACGAGUGGCGGACGGGUGAGAAAUGUCUGGGACACUGCCUGAUGGAGGGGGAUAACUACUGGACACGGUCUCUAAUACCGCAUACCAUCGGAUGUGCCCAGAUGGGAUUAGCUAGUAGGUGGGGAAAAGGCUCACCUAGGCGACGAUCCCUAGCGGGUCUGAGAGGAUGACCAGCAACACUGGAACUGAGACACGGUCCAGACUCCUACGGGAGGCAGAAGUGGGGAAUAUUGCACAAUGGGCGCAAGCCUGAUGCAGCCAUGCCGCGUGUAUGAAGAAGGCCUUCGGGUUGUAAAGUACUUUCAGCGGGGAGGCGUUACCCGCAGAAGAAGCACCGGCUAACUCCGUGCCAGCAGCCGCGGUAAUAC
rnacentral:rRNA from 1 species